rnacentral:other from 2 species
GACUCCCUGCGGUGUGCGACAGUCGCCUUUGGUGAUUGAUCCAACACAAUCACAACGGGAGCCGAACUCCAGGCCGCUUUUGUGCAGGCCCUCCACGUCGAGGGAAGCCUUCCGGCGGCCGGGUCAGCACCCACCUGCGAAGAGCGGGUUCAAAUCCCCGGCGAGUGACGGCACUUUGGGGCUAAA